UACAGAGGGUGCGAGCGUUGUCCGGAAUCACUGGGCGUAAAGGGCGCGUAGGUGGCCCGACAAGUCUGUGGUGAAAGCUCGACGCUCAACGUCGAGUCGGCCAUAGAUACUGUUGGGCUGGAGCACUGUAGAGGCUCAUGGAAUUCCGGGUGUAGCGGUGGAAUGCGUAGAGAUCCGGAAGAACCCCGGUGGCGAAGGCGGUGAGCUGGGCAGUAGCUGACACUGAGGCGCGACAGCGUGGGGAGCAAACAGG
rnacentral:rRNA from 1 species